rnacentral:lncRNA from 1 species
GUGGAACUCUUGUUUGUCUGGCAAAACCCCAGGCAGCACAACUGGAUUGGUUCCUUAAGAAAUGUCAGCAAGGCGCCGAAAGGAUUCACAGACUGAGCUUGGCAUUCUUGUGUCAAUUUCAUCUUUUUGCUGGGACCUUACCCUUUUACAGUUGAGGAGCUUCAAUGUGUACAUAAAAAAUGGAAGUUGGACGGGGAGAUUGGACCUGAACUUAGAAGGGAGCUUCUACCACAUUCCAUUAGAGUGGAGGAAGAAGAGGCUGAAAGAAGAGUCCAUAUAUCCUUGUGAUCUAUCUUAGUUGCUGCUACUUUAUGAAGGGCCUGGCUUGUGACCUCUCUUUGUCCUUAGUGAAGUUUUUCUUACAGUUCUUUUUUUUUUUUUCUGAAUCUUCCUCAUUUUCAUUUCCCUGGGGUCACUGUGGCCGCAUGGAGUGUACCUAAGACCAUAAGUCUUCCUCACAGAUGGGCCAUCAGGGCAGUCCCUUGUUUCCCAGGCCGCACCUCCUUUCCACAGCUUCUCUGACCCAUGCUGUCCUCUUAGCUGCUCCAAGCCGCUCCCCCACCUCCCCAAGGCUGAUGUCUAAAGUGUGCUCUUCAGUUCAGCAUGGUCUGCAGCCCCUGGGGACCUGUUAAAAAGGCAACUUCUUGGGUCAGACCCUUGACCUAGUGAAUCAAAGGGCUGUAAGGGGAACCCCACAGUCUGCCUCUUUCCAAGCCUGCCUGGGAGCUCAGGCGGUUGCUGGAGCUUGAGACUCAUUCCUGGCAAAGGAAGUUAUGAGAAUGUGGUGUUCCCCUGGGGCCAGGGGGCAGCUGUUCCUUAUGAAAAACACACUCACUCCAGCACAAGAUUAAAUCUUCCAGCUCUCCUGGAGAAAUUGCAGCUACUUUUCUCUACACUUGGACCACAGUUACUUGUUUUGACCUUGUGGGCAACUUUUCAGGAGGAUCCUAAAGUCUGGAGAUUUCACUUUAUUUUUAGUUUUCCUUGCCACAUCUUCUCAGAUUUUCUAAUGUGUUGUGAGUAUUUUCAUUGAUAUGUACUGGAUGAUAUUUGAUUGUCUUAUUAUUGGUAAAAAGAAAAAUAAAAAGAGAAAUAAAGGAAGAAAGAAAAGAAGGGAGAAAGAGAAAGAAAGAAGAAAGGAGAAAGGAACAAGAAGGAAGGAAGAAAGAAAGGAGGAAGGAAAAAUGAAAAGGAAAAAAGAAAGAAGGAGGGAAGGAAGAAAGAAAGAAAGGGGGUGAAAGAAAGAAAAAGGAAAAGGAAGGAAGGAAGAAAGAAGAAAAAAGGAAGGAAGGAAGGAAUAAAAAGAUUCGACUUGGAAGAAAGCAUGUGGAAAGUUAAAUGGAAAUUUUUAUGUGAAGUGUUGCAAGAGCGGACUAAGUUGCUUUUGGUCAUUCUGCCUGCUCUUCCAGAAACUCCUCAAAGGAAAAAAAAAAAGGAGUACAGGAAGAUGAGAUUUAAAAAAACUGAAACCUGAACAAAUUUAAUAUUGCCAACAAGGGAGUCAGAAAUCAGCAGGACUUCCCUCUAGCUCUGUGUUCCAGUAACACGCAGAGGUUUGCUGCCUACCCAUUUACAUUUUCACUCAGCAGGCUACCAUGAAUGAGAUGCCUCACUUUUUCUCAGACAGUGAAGUAUUGAUUUUGCAUCACAAGGGGAAAAUAUAAAUGUAGGUCUUCCUAAGAUGACCUCAACCACAAUGUCAGAAAAUUGCUAAGUGUUAGAAAUCUUAAGUAGAGUACUGGCAUAGAACAGAGGUUCCCAGUUGGUGAUGCAUAGUGUAAAAUCCCUAGACUCUGUUUUUAAUAGUCAAACCAAUUCAAAAUGGUGGGGCCUUUUAAAAUCUCUAUUAAAAAAAAACAGCACCAUCAAACCUCCAGGGUCAUACAUUUGCAAGAAUAUCAACUAUCAGUAUAGAUGACAAAGCAUGCAUUGUGAGCAUUCUCAAAAUUGAAAAGAAAAUUCCCAGAGGGUCAAUGACUGACCCUGAAAAAAAUCUGGUUCCUGAAUUCCCCAAGAAUACCAAAUCUUAUUAAAAGUGCUUUUGGAAUGGUGUUACCUCUUUCAGCUUAUUAUGAAAAAACUUCAUUCCUAUGUUAUAGGCAAUUCAUUUCUACGUAUGUCCUUCUCUUUUAUAGCAGUAACCAGCCACUCGGUCACUGCUAUCCUGAUAGGAAUAGCUAGUAAUGAUGUUUUAUGUUAGCUUCUGCUGGCUCUUGUCUUCUCAUUUCAUUGCCUAGGGGGAAAGGUGGUAUAUUUGCAUCAAAUUAUUGUUUUAAAACAAAGCAUGGGGUUGUUGGUUGGGGCCAUUGAGAAGAUUUACUUUAUCAGAAUUGGUUUGUCUUGAAGCAGUUUGUCCAAAAGGAAGCCAAGUAGAAACAUUCAUGUUUCCAUCAGGAGAAAAGUAAAUAUUGUGUGUAUGCAAAUAAAUAUACAAAAAUGCA